UCCCGUGCGCCGUGACCUCACGCGGCCGGGAGGCUUUCCAGGGCCUUUCGGACAUUUCGGCUCUGCAGGCCUCGCCCGCACCUGCACGGCGAGAUGAGGAGCUCGAUAUGGCGAGCGGGGGGAUGAGCGCGUUUCGUUGGUGCGAAGGGGACUCCCCGGGGCACAGCCUCGAGAACCUGUUCAACAGGCGCAUGAGAACAUACUUGAGGUCCCAGCAGCGAGGGAAUCCCGUAUCAUUUAAGCAUUCCAACAGACAGGAUGGAGCUUCCUGCUGACUUUAUUGGAUGGACUGGGACUGAAGAGGAUAUAAAAAGUUGCUAAGACUCAUCCUUCGCAUUUCGUCCACUUGUAUCCUCCUUAUUACUUUCUAGCAGUGCAAAUCAGACUUCUUUGGCAAAAUUCUCCUUCGGGAACACAGUUCUUAAAAUGCUCAUGUUUGGAAAAGGGGCUGAUACACACCAAGUGAAACCAAGAGAAUAACAGUUCUUAUUUUCAUUUUAAUGCUCAUGUUUUAUCUUGUGUGGAAGCAUCCAAGCAUACCAGGGAACACUGCAAAUUCCAGGAUUGCAUGGAAUAGCAGCAUUUUACUCAUAUAGGGUAAAAAUUCAGGAGGAAUUACAUGGCUACAGACCACCCCAAAGCUCCUUUCCAUACCGUGUAACUUAUCAUUACAGCCAAGCUGGCAGAGAACCUGACAGUCUGAGAUAAAGAAACUUCCCUGCCCAACCAACAGCAAUUCAGAUCAACAUUUAAAAAACCCCAAAACAACACAAGACAGAAACAAUUAAGAUAAAUAAAAAAAUACCUGCUUCAAAAUGUUAGCAGCUAUCAAGCAAAAAUAAUAUUCCGAGGAUCCAAGGAUUUUCACUUUUCUACUGUUUAGAGAGUAUCUCUGUUACAGGCAUUUGACAUUCCAGUAAGAAGAAAAAGCAGCAAGACUCCAUUCCUUCAUAUGUUGUUUUUCUGCAGACUUUCUAGAGUAAUAGAACACAAGUGAUCUCUCCUUGCUAAAAAAGAAAUCCUGAGUGGUUCCUUUUGAGUUGUUUGGGAGUUGUUUGGCCUUGGGGAAAAAAUUACAAAAAGCUCCACCUGACAUUUAUUAGAUGUGUCCUGCACUGGAAAGUGUAAAACUGGAAUCACAAUGGUAUCUUAAUUAGCUGAUACAAGCUUAUUUUCUUGACUGGGUACUGCAUGUAGGAAAACAUCAAAGCAGCACCAGUGUUUGUUGUGUGAAGCUUUUAUCACGUCCUGUAGAUUACCCGCUCUCCUUGUGGUACAGCACUAGUAGGAACAGAAAGGAUUACAGAAUGACAGUGGGAUGCAUUUUGAAAUCCUGUUAACAAGAGAGAAAAAAACCCUCACCCCUAAAUGUUUUUAGGACUUUUAUUGAAAAAAUUUAAAACCAAAAAAUUACCAAGGCCAGUCUUACAAUAAAUUUAAGACAUACAGAAUGGCUUACCUGCUACAUGGAAGAAACCUUAUUACAACAUUUCUCUCAUGCAACUCCUGGAUUAAAACCACAUUCUCAUUUAACAUCAAAAUGGAUUAUUUAUACUUUCUUAGGAGUUCACCUUAAAAUAUGAUUUAAAAAGUCAAUUUUCCAAGGGUUAAAAACACGUACACAGCACGAUUCCCCCCUUCACAGACCAGCUCCCUUUGUCUGAUAACUGGCAGAAAUAGACCACUGAGCAUGUUUUUCCUUUUUUUGUUAUUCUAACCUGAGAAAUUUCUUAAAUAAUGCUUACUGGGCUUUCAUAUUUGGCAACACGACUUCAGUUACUGAGCAAAGUGUGAUUCCUUUUUCUUGUCAGAAACCAGUCUUUCACUGCUUGUUCCAAAAGACACUCACAACCAGGAGGAGCAUUUGUCCCAAAAGACACUCUCACAAGCAGGAGUGGCAUUAGCCUAAACCUCCUUCUGUGCCCUUUUGGUAAGUUAAACCUUGUUAGUAAUUCCAUCAGGACACUAACCUCAGGAUGCAGAGUUCCCAUCAGUUGUGUAAUUCUCAGUAUUGUGCACUUUGAAAAUAUUUACUUUGGCAUGUUAUACUUUGUAGCAUAGUUGAUUUUUUUUGUGCUUACUCCCGGCCUUUACAAAAUCUGUCUUUUCUCUCUUGCAUUUAUUCAAGCCCUUCCCCUUGCCACCAGUUAUCUCCCUUUCUCAUAGCUGCAACAGAACCAGGGCAUAAAGCACACAAUUACAUUAAAAUGUCAGAGCUACAAAAGCUGCUGCACAGCAGACAGUGCUCUUAUAAAGCACUCUUAGUUGAUGAAUAUGCUUGUAAACCCUGUGACUCUUUUAGUACACUAUUCAAGGCUUCAAUUUUAAAUCUGUACGCUUACUAAUAUUUGAUUUCAAACCCUCCAAAUACUUGGUGUUCUACUCUACUCAAAUGUGCUAGUCACUUCACACUUGCUCCCCAUAUAUAAAACCAACACUGUCCAAAGAAAUUAUGAAAAACCACUUGAAAGAAGCAAUUUAACUUCCGACUGAUCAGAGCUUCUUCUGCAUUUUCAGUAAAUUUGUAUGUUACAUAAUUUGGGUUAUUCAGAAUUGUUGCUCUUCAGUUUUAUCUGAACACACCUGAUUUUCAAAUGAACCAUAAUUUCUUCACAGUUACUAGUCCUGUCUACCUGACUAAAAUUCACUGAGCUUUGUUUGCUCCAUACUCUGACUACUAAAAACCUUUACAGUAACCAUGGAGAUCAAAAGUGCUUGACUGGAAAGGUGCAGAAGUCACACAUUCUGAGAAAUGGCUGGAUUUUUCUGUUCAUUUUAGUGUAAUUCUGGUCGUGCCUGUACUGAAUACUGAAGUGUUUCAGUUUUCUACUUCUCUGCAAACUGGUUUUAAAAGAAUGUUAUAGGAGAUUACCACAAAAAAAAGAUGUGGAGAGAUAUCCACACAGUUGGUAAAUGACAACCUUUUAUUCUACUGCAAUUUGUUGGCGUUUUUGAUCCCAAAAGAGGAAAUAACAGACUUUGGACUUUCUUAAAUGUGCUCAAAAUCCAAAUUUCUUUAUUUUCCAUCUAAUUAAAAAAGACAAGUAUUGAAAAAUAAGGAGCAAACCUAACUGUUUCAGUAACCUUUAGUCUCACGUAUCUUUUAAAUUAUACAGUGCAAGUGUAUUUUGCAUAUCAGCGCUGAGUGCACUUUAGAAAGGACAUCUGUUGAAGUAUUUGCAACAGGUCUUUAUAGCACCAUAUAAUUGCUGUCGAUUUAACUGCUUAGAAUCAGCCAGUGCCUAGAAAGUAAAAUGAUGACAUUUCUAUUUCAUCUAUCAUUCCAAAAAAGAAAAGAAAUCUGGAAGCUUAUGUUAUCCAACUGAAUUAUGUAAACAAUUAAAUACCAGACACUUGAUUUUCACUUAUUCCAGUUUUGUGAACCUGGUUGAAGAUUUGCUACGUGAUCCUUCUGUAAUGGCACAGUUCAAUUCAGUGGCAGGAAAACUUCAUGGAUGUAUUGAAUGAAAACGUCUCUCUCUCACUUUUCCUUGAAUUGGCAAAGUUUCUUUUUGCACGAUUUGCACGAUUUGGUGCUGAGCCUUCUGCCAAGGCUCAUUUUCAAUUCAUAAUUGACAAGAAAAGAAGUGACAAACACAAGAGGCUGAGUGCUGGCAAAGCCACAGUAUAACACAAUAGGAACAGCAAGGCCAUGAGGAAGCCAGAGGUAACCGAGGUAUCUGGAACAAACCAAAACUACACUAAACACAAGAGAGCAGCUUAGCCCCACAGCACAUUUUACAUUCUUUAGAUACUUGACUGGUCUGUUUUCUACUGACACACAAUUCAGAAUUCAUUCAGAAUUGAAGGAAUACACAAUCUGAUUAGACAUGAAGUACACGAACCAUUCAUGCACCGACAAAUGCUGCUGUUGGUUUUUCACAGGUAAUGCUGAAGCAGCUGUGUCAGAAUGGCACUGGGUUGAAAUGAAAGCAAUGCUGGUACUUUACCACUUCUGGUAAUUGUUACUUACAACAGUCAGUGACCAUCUGCUCAACACUACAAGAGGCUUGUUUUCCAAACAUGAGUUCCAGUAAGCUGAAUUACAAAUGAGAUCAGUCUGAAUGCAUUAGAAAGAUCACAUGGUGUAUUUCUGGAGAAAGCGGUCGAACGCGUCGUAAAUCGCUUGUCUGAAACAAGUAAAAGAGAAGAGAAUUUGUACAAUUUGGGAAAGGGCAGAUAUAAGUGGCAUCCUUCCAUACAUUUACAAAUAUAUUUACAAAGCUAUCAUCACAAUUUAUUUCCUUUAUUUCUGGGAUCUCUCACUUCAAACCAGUAAUAUAUUGAUGUUCCAGGAAUGAGUGGGACUGUUUUCCAGCUUUAAUGCAAGUGCAAAUAUAGAUGGACUCGGAGUUUUCUACUCAAACACAUCAGAGACAUGCAUAACUUAAAAUUUUUGAGCAACUAUCAUAAAAAUAGGGCUGAAGUUUUAAAUAGCAGUAAGCUAGUGGUUAGCAUACAUUGACCCAAUAGAGUGCUAUUCUUUUUUGUUGUUGCUUAGACUUCCUAAAUGGUGUGUACAGUCUUCCUAAAUCCUUAUAUUUUAAAAUUAAAAGCACAAAUAUUUAAAACUUUUGGAAAACUACAGAACUGCACUCAUAUAACUGAUUUAUGUAACUGUCUUUAGAAAAUCAACACCUAAUAUUACUAAGGCACGAAUUCAUGCACAUACUACUUAUUUACAGUCAAGCUUUCAUUUUAAUUAAAUCUAAAAUUUAAUUUUAAACUUUUCCGUCCAUCUUACCUGAAGAGUCCUUGUUUGAAGAGGUAGGCACUGACAUGACCUCCAUCCAGAUACCUGAUUUCACACCCCGGCCAAAUCUCUUGGAGGCUGCGCACCCCAGUGCGAGGAAUGUACGCGUCCUCCUUAGCUUGUACAACUAUGAUUAAACUUGGGUCAACUGGAACUAAAGGAAAACAAAGCAAAACUGAAUUUAUCUGUGGUAAGAAGUAGAAACACAACAGCUGAGAUUUCUGUUGUAAAAAUGCUAUUUUCACAAAAAAUUAAAUUAUUCUAAGCUUUAAUAAAAGUACAUUUUCUAAAAUCUCCA